ACGGAAGGCAGCAGUGGGGAAUAUUGGACAAUGGGGGAAACCCUGAUCCAGCGACGCCGCGUGAGUGAAGAAGUAUUUCGGUAUGUAAGGCUCUAUCAGCAAGGAAGAAAAUGACGGUACUUGACUAAGAAGCUCCGGCUAAAUACGUGCCAGCAGCCGCGGUAAUACGUAUGGAGCAAGCGUUAUCCGGAUUUACUGGGUGUAAAGGGAGCGUAGACGGUAAAGCAAGUCUGAAGUGAAAUCCCGGGGCUCAACCCCGGAACUGCUUUGGAAACUGUUUAACUAGAGUGCAGGAGAGGUAAGCGGAAUUCCUAGUGUAGCGGUGAAAUGCGUAGAUAUUAGGAGGAACACCAGUGGCGAAGGCGGCUUACUGGACUGUAACUGACGUUGAGGCUCGAAAGCGUGGGGAGCAAACAGGAUUAGAUACCCUGGUA
rnacentral:rRNA from 1 species